AUUGAACGCUGGCGGCAGGCCUAACACAUGCAAGUCGAACGGGUGGCGGACGGGUUAGUAAUGUCUGGGAAACUGCCUGAUGGAGGGGGAUAACUACUGGAAACGGUAGCUAAUACCGCAUACCAUCAGAUGUGCCCAGAUGGGAUUAGCUAGGUGGUGGGGUACAGGCUCACCAAGGAGACGAUCCCUAGCUGGUCUUAGAGGAUGACCAGCCAAACUGGAACUGAGACACGGUCCAGCCUCCUACGGGAGGCAGCAGUGGGGAAUAUUGCACAAUGGGCGAAAGCCUGAUGCAGCCAUGCCGCGUGUAUGAAGAAGGCCUUCGGGUUGUAAAGUACUUUCAGCUGGGAGGCGUUACCCGCAGAAGAAGCACCGGCUAACGCCGUGCCAGCAGCCGCGGUAAUAC
rnacentral:rRNA from 1 species